CUCCUCCUUUCUCCCCUCAGAUGAUCCAAUUGGUCUGUGUUGGGCUCCAGGAAUCUGCAUUUUGAGAACUACAUCAGGUGUCUAAUCUUGGGUAAA
rnacentral:miRNA from 1 species